CCUGGCUCAGGAUUAACGCUGGCUGUGUGCCUAAUACAUGCAAGUUGAGCGAGAACUAUUUCGGUAGUUCUAGCAGCGAAUGGGUGAGUAACACGUACUUAAUCUACCUUUAAGUCCGGAAUAACUACGGGAAACCGUAGCUAAUACCAGAUAUGAUUCUUAGUCGCAUGACUUUGAAUUGAAAGGAGCGUUUGCUCCGCUUUUAGAUGAGAGUGCGGAACAUUAGUUAGUUGGUAGGGUAAAGGCCUACCAAGACAAUGAUGUUUAGCCGAGCUGAGAGGCUGACCGGCCACACUGGGACUGAGAUACGGCCCAGACUCCUACGGGAGGCAGCAGUAGGGAAUUUUCCACAAUGGGCGAAAGCCUGAUGGAGCGACACAGCGUGCGGGAUGAAGGUCUUCGGAUUGUAAACCGCUGUUAUAAGCGAAGAAAAGUCAAUAUAGGAAAUGAUAUUGAAAUUGACUGUAACUUAUCAGAAAGUAACGGCUAACUAUGUGCCAGCAGCCGCGGUAAUACAUAGGUUGCAAGCGUUAUCCGGAUUUACUGGGCGUAAAGCGUUCGUAGGUGGUCCUGUAAGUUUAAAGUUAAAUGUUGGAGCUUAACUCCAACCUGCUUUAGAUACUGCAGAACUAGUGUUAUUGAGAGGUUAGUAGAACUCCAUGUGAAGUGGUGGAAUACGUUGAUAUAUGGAAGAAUACCAGGGGCGAAGGCGACUAACUGGCAAUAUACAGACACUGAGGGACGAAAGCGUGGGGAGCAAAUAGGAUUAGAUACCCUAGUAGUCCACGCCGUAAACGAUGAUCAUUAGAUGUUGGAAAUAAAUUCAGUAUCGCAGCUAACGCAUUAAAUGAUCCGCCUGAGUAGUAUGCUCGCAAGAGUGAAACUUAAAGGAAUUGACGGGGACUCGCACAAGCAGUGGAGCAUGUGGUUUAAUUUGAAGAUACACGAAGAACCUUACCCAGACUUGACAUCCUUGGCAAUGCUAUAGAAAUAUAUGCGGAGGUUAUCCAAGUGACAGAUGGUGCAUGGUCGUCGUCAGCUCGUGUCGUGAGAUGUUUGGUUAAGUCCAAUAACGAGCGCAACCCUUGUUUACAGUUACUAUCAAAAUUAUUUAUUUAGAUUUGAAGAACUCUGUAAAGACUGCCUAGGUAACUAGGAGGAAGGUGGGGAUGACGUCAGAUCAUCAUGCCUCUUACGUCUGGGGCCACACACGUGCUACAAUGGCGAUUACAAAGAGACGCAAAGCCGCAAGGUGAAGCAAAUCUCAAAAAAAUCGUCUCAAUUCGGAUUGAAGUCUGCAACUCGACUUCAUGAAGCCGGAAUUGCUAGUAAUCGUAGGUCAGCUAUACUACGGUGAAUACGUUCUCGAGUCUUGUACACACCGCCCGUCACACCAUGGAAGUUGGUAAUGCCCAAAGCAGGUUAGAUAACUUCGGAGUCUACCUUCUAAGGCAGGAUCGAUGACUGGGGUGAAGUCGAAACAAGGUAUCCCCAC
rnacentral:rRNA from 1 species